rnacentral:lncRNA from 1 species
CAAAUGACCACCAGACCACCAGUUCUCCGACCUCCAAACAACCAACCAACAAAACCCCGACCAAAACCCCAUCGGAAAACAACUGAAGCACCGCUAACAGAUCAAACCAACAACACAAUCAGGCGAGAAUCAAGGCUCGAAAACAACAGCCACAACUUCAUAUCCGGCUAGGCUCAACAAGCAAGCAAUAACAUAGUUUUAGAUCUGCCCACAGGAAAGCAAAAUCCGAUGAUUGAACGAGCUCCAAGCUCCGACCACACUAGUGUGCUAAAUCUCUCUAAUCUUUUUCAUAUACUUCCUCUAUUGAAUGUGGUCAUGGAGGAAACCUAUUGUCAAUCUUGGAUGGGAUUUUCAUUGCAGUCAAGGAUGACAGUGAUUGCUAUUUUC